rnacentral:rRNA from 1 species
GAUGAACGCUGGCGGCGUGCUUAACACAUGCAAGUCGAACGAUGAAGCCCAGCUUGCUGGGUGGAUUAGUGGCGAACGGGUGAGUAACACGUGAGUAACCUGCCCUUAACUCUGGGAUAAGCCUGGGAAACUGGGUCUAAUACCGGAUAGGAGCGUCCACCGCAUGGUGGGUGUUGGAAAGAUUUAUCGGUUUUGGAUGGACUCGCGGCCUAUCAGCUUGUUGGUGAGGUAAUGGCUCACCAAGGCGACGACGGGUAGCCGGCCUGAGAGGGUGACCGGCCACACUGGGACUGAGACACGGCCCAGACUCCUACGGGAGGCAGCAGUGGGGAAUAUUGCACUAUGGGCGCAAGCCUGAUGCAGCGACGCCGCGUGAGGGAUGACGGCCUUCGGGUUGUAAACCUCUUUCAGUAGGGAAGAAGCGAAAGUGACGGUACCUGCAGAAGAAGCACCGGCUAACUACGU